rnacentral:rRNA from 1 species
CGCGUAGGUGGUAGUGAAAGUCUAUGGUGGAAUCUUAGGGCUUAACCCUAAAACUGCCUUGGAAACUUCAUUACUUGAGUCAGUGAGGGGAGGGUAGAAUUCCUGGUGUAGCGGUGAAAUGCGUAGAUAUCAGGAGGAAGGCCGGUGGCGAAGGCGGCCCUCUGGCGCUGAACUGACGCUGAGGCGCGAAAGCGUGGGUAGCAAACAGGAUUAGAUACCCUGGUAGUCCACGCCCUAAACGGUGGGUACUAGGUGUAGGGCUCGUAAGGGUUCUGUGCCGAAGGGAACCAUUAAGUACCCCGCCUGGGGAGUACGGCCGCAAGGUUGAA